rnacentral:lncRNA from 1 species
CAAGUCGACGCCGCACCACCAACCACUGUCGCCGUCUUCUCCCUAACGAGCGCCGGUCCUAACGGCAACGGUGGUUCCUCGGCGGGCAACAUGGAGAACCUGGACGCCAGCGGCAUGGGUAAGAAGAACCUUAUCCCUGACCUCAACAUGGAAGAGCGCGACGACUCCGCGGGCGGCAGCAAAGAUAAGCCGCGCUCGGAAGCGAAGGUGGAGGUAGCUGCUGCCGAUGCCGAUGCCGACGCCGACGCCGACAAGGGUAAGAGCAUCGCCGCUGCUGGCGACGACGACGGCGAGCCCAACGUCAACAUCGCCUUGGAGCGGGAGAGGCGCAAGCGGAUGAAAGAUCUGUUCAGGUCACUACAAGACCUGAUGCCCCACGUCCCUCAGAAGGUAAUACUAGAACUCUCACAUGACGCGCGCGAUCAAUCCUGCGAAGCCAAGUUCGUAUACGUUGGCUAGCUAGGGCUUGGAAGUUGGAACUCGCAUAAGCAGGGCAGGCUAUAGCUAGGCAGCUAAUCACUCGCUAGUCUAGUCUGGUUCUGAUUCUGAUAUCGUACUGUGUGUGAUCAGAUUCUGAUGGAUUUACUGUUGAUUGUCUCUUCUGACAGACUGACAAGGCGACAUUAGUGGGAGAGGCGAUCACCUACAUCAAGGUCCUCGAGGAGAAGGCGGACAUGCUGGGGAAGCAGGCGCUCGCGGCGCGGCAGGCCGCCGCUAGGGGUGAGGCCUCCUCCUCUUCCUCUCUUCUCUCUUUGAGGGCGAUGCCACCGACCGCGCAGGGCAUGGCGGCCCUGUGCUCUUGGAACGCCCCGCGUGGCUGGGGCGGUGUCCCUGUGCAACCUGCUGCUCCAGCCGUGCCAGCGUCGACGUCGCCGAUGAGAUGCAAGACGUGGGCGGGGCCAAACAUGGUGCUGACCGUGGCCAACGACAACGCCUACAUCAGCGUGUGGGCGCCACGGCGCGCAAACACCCUGACCAUGGUGAUGUCCGUGCUAGACAACCACGGGAUCGACGUGAUCACCGCGCAAAUCUCGUCCGACAGGGUUCGCGCCCUGUUCAUGAUCUAUGCCCAUGUAAGUACCAUUGUUGCUCCAUCAAUAUCCACCUGGUUUCAUAGCAUAGCUUGGGGCUUUUGUUGGCCAGACGUAUGUAGGAGUAGGAUCGUUGCAGCAGCUUAUAUGCGUUGCGUAGAUCUGGUAAUUAAGCAUGACGAUGGGCGAUUGGUUGCCAUUCUUAGAUCGAGGAGAAUCCCCUCAUCGCGACUGGGGAACUGAUCUGACCUAGAAAUGAAAGGAAUGUCCACCUAUUUCUUCGCUAUAUUUGAAUUUGAAAAAGGCUUUUACCGUUAAAUUAGGGUUCGCGCGGGCGAGUCUAGAGGCCGACGACAAACGAUGACCUUUUGUCGCAUUUUAUUUAAUAGAAAAGGAUGAUCCAAAAAUCGACAGAAUUUAUAUAGGUUUAGGCUUCAUUGAUUCAGUAACCAUAAGGAAAUAAUACGUUAGAGCUUUAUUUUUGUCGUAAUCUGUCUGACGGGGAAGAAAGUGGUGGUCCAAACACCGACAUAAUUUGUAUAAGUUGACGCUGCAUAGUUCUAGCAACCACAAGGAAGUAGUACGUUAUUAGAACUUUUAUUUUGUCGCGCUUUAAUAGUAAAAAGGUGAUCUAGAUACCGACCAUACUAAAUCUAGCUAAGCUAAUCGACAAAUAUUGUUAUCUUUUCUAUUCAGUCUCAUCCUAUUUAACUGAAGAUAUUGGUUUGCCAGCGACUUGUAAAGGUUGUAUGGUUAUGGGAUUCGAUCAAUAACUAUUUGAAAAAAUAGUAUGUUAGAGGUCCAUUUUUUUGGUGGCGUGCAUAUAUAUGGAAAACACGAUUUAUUAGGAAUGGACAUAACAAAGUACUAAAACAAAGUACUAAAAUAGUAUGCCACAAAUUUUCAUACCCUUCACAUGCCUGAGUGCACCUAUGGAUUUGUGCUUUAUUGAUAGGAAUAACUAUUAUGUGACUUGCUUUAUGUUUAAACUCUUUUUGUUGCAAAAAUGCUAUAUAUAUAUAUAUAUAUAUAUAUAUAUAUAUAUAUAGCAUUUUUUUACAUGCGUGUGUAGUUACUCUCAUCUAUAUAUCUCUAGAUUUAAGGUGUAUAUGACCGAAAGAGUGAUAUGUAUGUUAAGUAUGCAUACAUACAUAGAGUAUAUGGUUAUACUUAUUGUAUAUAAUAUAGUAGUGGCAUUUUAGUAAUAUAUUUAAAAUAUAAUUUUUUUAAAAAAAAAUUCGCGUAGUAAGAUCUAGAGUAUCUUAAUAUGAGUAUAUAAACAUACUCAAACUGAUAAACAAGUAUGAAUAUGUACACAAUGUAGUUUAUUGAAGAUGUGUAUAUAUAUAUAUAUAUAUAUAUAUAUAUAUAUAUAUAUAUAUAUAUAUAUAUAUAUAUAUAUAUAUAUAUAUAUACCAUUUGAAUGGUCACUCAGUAGUAUUAUGUACUUCGCACACAAAGAUGAGUUUGUACUUUGCACUUGAUACUUUUUCACUCUAGCAGUAACAUGAAUGCACAGAAGGCUGAACCCAAUCACAAACAAGUGUCAUUGUAGACAUUGCGCACGGUAUAUGUACAUAUUAUUAGAAUCCAAGCAUCAAUAUCUAACUUGUAGAAGCUUAUGUAGCAGCCUCGUUGCCUGACAAAAGCCUAAAAUCAACAAGAAAAUAAAUCUGUUCUUACAUGUUAAAGUGGUAACAUAUUCAUUUAACAAACUUGUCUACGUGAGGUAAAACUAUAUGGCAGCUCAGUAGCAUCCGUAUCUUUUCUAUUGCAUAACACAGGUGACUGGAAUAGGCGGUGAGAAUCGUCGUUCGUCGGAGGAAGUGUACCAGAGGGCUGUGUCGGAGAUCGUAUACAGGCUCCACAACAACAACAACAACAACAAUAACAACAAUGGCUAGACCGAUUGGAGCCGCCAAUCAAAGGCCUCAGGGGCGUCUCAAGCUACGCCACUGCAUGCCAUCGAUCUGCUCAAUAGCUUGCAACCUUCAGACUGGAGCGAUCUAAAAACCCGAAAUAAAUAAACUUGUUUGAUUAAUUUGCACCUGUCAUUUGAAGGUUUGAGAACCGUCUCUUUGUGUCUUUGUCAGGUCGGUCGAACUGCGAGUGUCGUGCGUGUUUGUGUCUCGACAUUGCUUUACAACGUCUCUUUGUGUUGUGAUUAUUGUUGUACCACCGUCUUCUAAAUUGUUGUUGGACCGUUUUAAUAAGUUUCGUAUGUUGGUACUCAUCGUGAGCUGAUCGAUCGGCUCUAAGCUAUCCCUCUCUCUUCAGAGAUUAUAAUGGAUGGUUAUUGGGAUGAGUGUUCAUAUCACCGACUUCUCCAAAAGGCCAAAACCACGGCUCACGCAUACAAGAUACAGCAGUCAGCAAAGGCCGGUCAAUAAAAGCCGUAGCCACAGACCAAGAAAUGGAGCAAAAAGGAUGACCUCCCUUCACAUGUGGAUGGGGCUAGCAGGCGACCUGCAUUGCUAUGCCUACCUGUUUGGAACUUUGGAUCAUAAAAUUCCAAAGGUAAGCUUUAAUAUAUUUUUCAUUCUUCUGGAGAAGUCCAAUCGAACAAAAACUGAAAUAGGUAAACAGCGGCAUGCAUGCCACAGUAGAACUUCAAUUCUUGUUACGCUCGCGGUCAAAGGACCCAAGUUAUAAGCCUACACGCAUGAGGAGAACGAUGUCACCUUUAUCUGGAAGCAAAUAUGUCGUGACAUGUCAUGCAAUAGCGCAGCGCGCAACCCACCCACCGCGUAUUUGUUCUCGCCUCUCAUCUACCUCGAGCCCUGCCUCCCCCACCCCCCUGCCUCCUCCCCUGCCGCCCUCGGCCAACAGCAGCCUCACCGCCCACCUCCCACCCCAACCGCUCCACCCUACCCUGCCCUAACUGUAGGGUGGCGCGCUGGCGCCAUCCUCUGGCCCCCGCCCCACCCCCACCUCCGUCCGUCGACCUCGUCCACCCUAAUCCCAGGGCAGGGCGCCAGUGAGCUUCGCAGCGAUGCCCCACUGUCGGUCUCACCCAACUGCCUUCUCCUGUUGCCCCGUCUCGACACUGUCUCUCGCCACCACCACCAUGUUGUGGCUGCCUCCACUUGAACCCCCUUCUAGAACCACCUUAGAUGAGUUUUUCUAACACUAACACUAGCUAUUGUUGUCAUCUUCCCCUCCAACGGGGUGCGGUCGUGCGCAGGCGCAUGAGUUGGUCGCAUGGGAGCGGGAGGGAGAGAGAGAGAGAGAGAGAGAGGGUGGGCCAACCCAUGUCACACCAUCCACGCACCAUGGUUGCUUAUUUAACUUUGUGCUUUGAUUUGCUGGCCACGCCACCAGGUGUUUGGUGGGAUAGGCAAAGGUGACGACGAGAGAGAUAUAAGCCUGUUUGUUUAAGCGUAUAUGCCGAAUUUGCUAGCUAUUCAAUAGUGAUUUUCUCUCACAAUAAAUCUGUGAAUAAUACUUAUAACCAUGGUUUUUCGCCCAAGCAGGCCGGUGCGUGGAACCUUGCUUAUUAAUUGCUCUCGCUGUGAAGUGAAAACAGAAUUUGUAUGCUUGCAGUGGCACGAGUAAAGAUCGCUUUGCUACCCUUUUUCGUUUCCCUUUUGUUCUACGGUGAUGAUGAAGACUGAGGACGUGGCUUCGCUUGGAUUUAUGCACCGAUUUUUGGCCGCAGUCAGUUACUGAAGUAGGGAUAGAUGCGACGUUUAUAAUAUUAAAAAACACACUGCAGAUAGAUACAAGGUGAAGUAAGGGAACUGAUGAAAAUGCUCACACGCCAACGCGAAUGUUUUACUGGUCAGUCGAAAUUAAGGAAUCUGAAUCGAUAUAUGCACUCGGAACAAUGAGUGAUCAGAGGCUCACAGAGAAAUGGUUCAAGAAUGUGACACCGCUUGGCCAGAGCACUAAGCAUCUGUGUAUAUCGUUUAGCCUAUAUAACUCCAGUAAGUAGAGAGCUGCUGCAAACAUUGUGUGGCCUUUGUUUGAAACGAAAUAUAUAUUAAUAUUGUGAGGCAUUACUCAUUGCUAAAUAAUCUUGCUGCUAGCACUGAGUGAGCACAUUUGGAGUGCAGGUCACAGUGAAGAAAAGACAGCCGAAUUUACCGUAAGACAGCUAAUCCGCCCGGAGACGUUACACAUCCUUUUACACUGUCAUUUACGCAUCUGUGACCAGUGGAAGAGAUUAAAGUUUCAGAAAAAGACAACACAUGAGGUAAUUCUGCGGUGCUUACAAAUAAAGGCUCAAGACGACGGCCAUUCCAAAAUCCUCCAGUACGCCUCCGAUCCCCUCGUCCAAAAUCCUCCAGCCUGCCUCGCCCUCGCCUGCCUGCCUGCCUGCCAUGGCUCAGAACGGACCCCACGGCCACCAAGUCGACGCCGCUGCCUCCGACGACGGCCACCGCGCACCACCAACCACUGUCGCCUUCUCCCUCACGAGCGCCGGUCCAUACGGCAACGCUGGUUCCUCGGCGGGCAACAUGGAGAACCUGGACGCCAGCGCCAGCAAGGGUAAGAACCUUAUCCCUGACCUCAACAUGGAAGAGCGCGACGACUCCGCGGGCGGCAGCAAAGAUAAGCCGCGCUCGGAAGCGGAGCUGGUGGUACCUGCUGCCGAUGCCGACGCCGACG